rfam:Salmo salar isolate Sally breed double haploid chromosome ssa24, whole genome shotgun sequence.
UGCAUUCACUACUGUAAGUCGCUCUGGAUAAGAGCGUCUGCUAAGAGCGUCUGCUAAGAGCGUCUGCUAAAUUACUAAAU